rnacentral:rRNA from 1 species
AUAUUCCGCAAUGGACGAAAGUCUGACGGAGCAACGCCGCGUGAGUGCAGAAGGCCUUCGGGUCGUAACACUCUGUUGCCGGGGAAGAACAAGUGCCGUUCGAACAGGGCGGCACCUUGACGGUACCCGGCCAGAAAGCCACGGCUAACUACGUGCCAGCAUCGGCGGUAAUACGUAGGUGGCAAGCGUCGUCCGGAAUUAUUGGGCGUAAAGCGCGCGCAGGCGGCUUCUUAAGUCUGAUGUGAAAUCUUGCGGCUCAACCGCAAGCGGUCAUUGGAAACUGGGAGGCUUGAGUGCAGAAGAGGAGAGUGGAAUUCCACGUGUGGCGGUGAAAUGCGUAGAGAUGUGGAGGAACACCAGUGGCGAAGGCGGCUCUCUGGUCUGUAACUGACGCUGAGGCGCGAAAGCGUGGGGAGCAAACAGGA